AACGGUCUAUACCUGCGGUACCUGCGGAGGGAUCAUUACAGAGUUACUACUCCAAACCCAUUGUGAACCUUACCUAUGUUCUGUUGCCUCGGCGGCGCGGUCAGCGCCCCUCUGAAAAGAGGACGAUGCCCUCCCGCCGGCAGCACCAAACUCUUGAAUUUUACAGCGGAUUACAGUUCUGAUUUAAAAACAAAAAAAACAAGUUAAAACUUUUAACAACGGAUCUCUAGAUCGGAAGAG
rnacentral:misc_RNA from 1 species